ACGAACGCUGGCGGCGUGCUUAACCCCUGCAAGUCGCACGGAAAGGCCCUGCUUUUGUGGGGUGCUCGGGUGGCGAACGGGGGAGUAACACGUGAGUAACCUGCCCUUGACUUUGGGGUAACUUCAGGAAACUGGGGCUAAUACCGGAUAGGAGCUCCUUCUGCAUGGUGGGGGGUGGAAAGUUUCGGCGGUUGGGGAUGGACUCGCGGCUUAUCAGCUUGUUGGUGGGGUAGUGGCUUACCAAGGCUUUGACGGGUAGCCGGCCUGAGAGGGUGACCGGCCACAUUGGGACUGAGAUACGGCCCAGACUCCUACGGGAGGCAGCAGUGGGGAAUAUUGCACAAUGGGCGGAAGCCUGAUGCAGCAACGCCGCGUGCGGGAUGACGGCCUUCGGGUUGUAAACCGCUUUCGCCUGUGACGAAGCGUGAGUGACGGUAAUGGGUAAAGAAGCACCGGCUAACUACGUG
rnacentral:rRNA from 1 species